AUGCUCAAAUUUGCCCCUGUGACGUCAGUUGCACUUAUAGAAAUAUCCUUCUGUGUCGUUACCAUCCAGUCAAAGGCCUUUGACCGUCAACAAGACGUUUUCUGGACAUUUCUACCCCUUCCUCCAUAUGUCACUGUCAUGUGGGACCCACUCACAAAAAAUAAUAAAAAGUAUAAGCUCUCUCUCUUCCUCUCUCUGCCUGUCUCACUUACACAUGGGACCGAAAUGAAAAAAAUAUCAAUUUCUCAUGCGGUCCACAAGUCAUUAUUGUCUUAUUUUCUGAAAUGGUAUUCACUUAAUUAUUUCAGGGGUGGGCCCUCUAGUCAGCGCCUCUAA
rnacentral:rRNA from 1 species